UGUAGUAAUACAAGGCAKACGGCUCAGUAACACGUAGUCAACCUACCCUAUGGACRAGAAUAAUCUCGGGAAACUGRGCAUAAUUCUUGAUAGAUCAUAAUGCCUGGAAUGGUUUAUGGUUAAAAUGAUUCGUCGCCAUAGGAUGGGACUGCGGCCUAUCAGCUUGUUGGUGAGGUAAUGGCCCACCAAGGCGAUUACAGGUACGGGCUCUGAGAGGAGAAGCCCGGAGAUGGGUACUGAGACACGGACCCAGGCCCUAUGGGGCGCAGCAGGCGAGAAAACUUUGCAAUGUGCGAAAGCACGACAAGGUUAAUCCGAGUGAUUUCUGCUAAAGAAAUCUUUUGCCAGUCAUAAAACCACUGGUGAAUAAGGGGUGGGCAAGUUCUGGUGUCAGCCGCCGCGGUAAAACCAGCACCUCAAGUGGUCAGGAUGAUUAUUGGGCCUAAAGCAUCCGUAGCCGGCUUUGUWAGUUUUCGGUUAAAUCCAUGUGCUCAACGCAUGGGCUGCCGAAAAUACUGCAURGCUAGGGAGUGGGAGAGGUAGACGGUACUCAGUAGGAAGGGGUAAAAUCCUUUGAUCUAUUGAUGACCACCUGUGGCGAAGGCGGUCUACCAGAACACGUUCGACGGUGAGGGAUGAAAGCUGGGGGAGC
rnacentral:rRNA from 1 species